GUGGGGAAUAUUGGGCAAUGGAUGCAAGUCUGACCCAGCCAUCCCGCGUGCCGGAAGAAGGCCCUCAGGGUUGUAAACGGCUUUUGACGGUGAAGAAUCGACAGGAUGCGUCCUGUUUUGACGGUAGCCGUUGAAUAAGCACCGGCUAACUCCGUGCCAGCAGCCGCGGUAAUACGGAGGGUGCGAGCGUUGUCCGGAUUUAUUGGGUUUAAAGGGUGCGUAGGCUGGAAGGUCAGUCAGCGGUGAAAAGCUGUCGCUUAACGAUAGUCUUGCCGCAGAUACUUCCUUUCUUGGAUGAGGAGGAGGCCACUGGAACGGAUGGUGUAGCGGUGAAAUGCAUAGAUAUCAUCCAGAACACCGAUUGCGAAGGCAGGUGGCUGUACCUUAAUCGACGCUGAUGCACGAAAGCAUGGGGAGCAAACAGGAUUAGAAACCCUAGUAGUCC
rnacentral:rRNA from 1 species